UCUUCGCAUGAUCAAAAGAUUGAAAACGAGUACGGGAAUGUUAUUGGGUCUUACGGAAAUGAUGGAAAAGAAUACGUUCAGUGGUGUGCUAGUUUGGCUGAAUCCUACCAAAUUGGUGUUCCCUGGGUUAUGUGUCAAGAAUCGGAUGCUCCAUCCCCAAUGAUUAAUACUUGCAAUGGCUGGUAUUGUGAUCAAUUCACCCCUAACAAUCCCAAUAGUCCUAAAAUGUGGACUGAGAAUUGGACUGGCUGGUUCAAGGGUUGGGGUUUACAAGAUCCACACAGAACUGCUGAAGACCUUUUUUAGCAGAUGGGGUUUACAAGAUAUCUAACAAAUUGGAUGUCUUGUACGUUGUAACAGCAAUAUCAUUUGGAGUUGGGCAAAUCAUAUUUGCUUGUAUAUAUGAAGCCAAGAGUUUAGCAUGCCAAGUUAGCAAGCAUUUGUAAAUCAUGUGUACAAAUUAAAAAUUUAACCCUUGUUACCCAACAGAUGUAAGAUAUUGACUACAUAUGAUGAUUAUACCACAGAAUUUUCCAUUAAUUGAUGUUUUUGAUUAGUGGGGCAUAAAGGGAUCGAUAUCGUGGCUAGUUGCUUAAUUAGAAGUUGUCAUUAGCCUUUCUUCCUAUUUAUAA